rnacentral:rRNA from 1 species
UACGUAGGGGCCUAGCGUUGUCCGGAUUUAUUGGGCGUAAAGAGCUCGUAGGCGGUUUGGUUAGUCAGGUGUGAAAUCUCCACGCUCAACGUGGAGGGCCACCUGAUACUGCCAUGACUUGAGUCCGGUAGGGAGUGUGGAAUUCCCGGUGUAGCGGUGAAUGCGCAGAUAUCGGAGGAACGACCGUAGCGAAGGCGGCACUCUGGCCGUGACUGACGCUGAGGAGCGAAAGCGUGGGAGCAACAG